UCCCUGGUAGUCCAGUGGUUAAGACUUUGCCUUCCAAUGCAGAGGAUCCAGGUUAAAUCCCUGGUAGGGGAG
rnacentral:tRNA from 1 species